rnacentral:rRNA from 1 species
ACGUAGGGGGCAAGCGUUAUCCGGAUUUACUGGGUGUAAAGGGAGCGUAGACGGCACGGCGAGCCAGAUGUGAAAGCCCGGGGCUCAACCCCGGGACUGCAUUUGGAACUGCUGAGCUAGAGUGUCGGAGAGGCAAGUGGAAUUCCUAGUGUAGCGGUGAAAUGCGUAGAUAUUAGGAGGAACACCAGUGGCGAAGGCGGCUUGCUGGACGAUGACUGACGUUGAGGCUCGAAAGCGUGGGGAGCAAACAG